rnacentral:rRNA from 1 species
UACGGAGGGAGCUAGCGUUGUUCGGAAUUACUGGGCGUAAAGCGCACGUAGGCGGCUUUGUAAGUUAGAGGUGAAAGCCUGGAGCUCAACUCCAGAAUUGCCUUUGAUACUGCAUGGCUUGAAUCCAGGAGAGGUGAGUGGAAUUCCGAGUGUAGAGGUGAAAUUCGUAGAUAUUCGGAAGAAACACCAGUGGGCGAAGGCGGC